GUUAUUCGGAAUCACUGGGCUUAAAGGGUGCGUAGGCGGCCAUGUAAGUGAGGUGUGAAAUCCCUCGGCUCAACCGAGGAACUGCGCUUCAUACUGCAUGGCUUGAGGGAGACAGGGGUAAGCGGAACUGAUGGUGGAGCGGUGAAAUGCGUUGAUAUCAUCAGGAACACCGGUGGCGAAAGCGGCUUACUGGGUCUCUUCUGACGCUGAGGUACGAAAGCUAGGGGAGCGAACGGG
rnacentral:rRNA from 1 species